rnacentral:misc_RNA from 1 species
AUGCCUAACUGGGAUUCGGUAGGGUGGAGUGCCAUGAUAGGUGGUUAUGUGAGAUGGGGUUUGUCUAGUGAGGCUGUAGGGUUGUUUAGAGAAAUGCAGGUUGUUGGGAUAGAACCUGAUGAAGUUACGAUGGUUUGUUUGUUGUCUGCCUGCAUAGAUUUGGGUGCGCUUGAGCUAGGGAAGUGGCUCGAGGCAUAUAUCGAGAGGGAGAAU